ensembl:snRNA U6 U6 spliceosomal RNA
GUGCUCACUUCAGCAGCACAUAUACUAAAACUGGAACCACACAGAGAUUAUCAUGGCCCCUGAGUAAGGAUGACAUGCAAAUUUGUGAAGUGUUCCAUAAAAAA